UACGUAGGGUGCGAGCGUUAAUCGGAUUUACUGGGCGUAAAGCGUGCGCAGGCGGCCCGUUAAGACAGGUGUGAAAUCCCUGGGCUCAACCUAGGAAUUGCGCUUGUGACUGGCGGGCUCGAGUACGGUAGAGGGGGGUGGAAUUCCUGGUGUAGCAGUGAAAUGCGUAGAUAUCGGGAGGAAGGCCGGUGGCGAAGGCGGCCCCCUGGGCCUGUACUGACGCUCAUGCACGAAAGCGUGGGGAGCAAACAGG
rnacentral:rRNA from 1 species